rnacentral:rRNA from 1 species
ACGCUCGACACCUACGGGAGACAGCAGUGGGGAAUAUUGCACAAUGGGGGAAACCCUGAUGCAGCGACGCCGCGUGAAGGAAGAAGUAUUUCGGUAUGUAAACUUCUAUCAGCAGGGAAGAAGAAAGUGACGGUACCUGACUAAGAAGCCCCGGCUAACUACGUGCAAGCAGCCGCGGUAAUCUGAGCGGGCUGGCAAGGC